GCUAAUACCGCAUAGCAACGUUGUUCGGAUGAACAACCCUAAUAAGAUGGCUUCUCGCUAUCACUUCUGGAUGGACCUGCGGUGCAUUAGCUUGUUGGUGGGGUAACGGCCUACCAAGGCGAUGAUGCAUAGCCAAGUUGAGAGACUGAUCGGCCACAAUGGGACUGAGACACGGCCCAUACUCCUACGGGAGGCAGCAGUAGGGAAUCUUCCACAAUGGGCGCAAGCCUGAUGGAGCAACACCGCGUGAGUGAAGAAGGGUUUCGGCUCGUAAAGCUCUGUUGUUAAAGAAGAACACGUAUGAGAGUAACUGUUCAUACGUUGACGGUAUUUAACCAGAAAGUCACGGCUAACUACGUGCCAGCAGCCGCGGUAAUACGUAGGUGGCAAGCGUUAUCCGGAUUUAUUGGGCGUAAAGAGAGUGCAGGGCGGUUUUCUAAGUCUGAUGUGAAAGCCUUCGGCUUACCCGGAUAACUGCAUCGGAUACUGGAUAACUUGA
rnacentral:rRNA from 2 species